rnacentral:rRNA from 1 species
UACGAAGGGGGCUAGCGUUGUUCGGAUUUACUGGGCGUAAAGCGCACGUAGGCGGAUUGGUCAGUUAGGGGUGAAAUCCUGGAGCUCAACUCCAGAACUGCCUUUAAUACUGCCAGUCUCGAGUCCGGAAGAGGUAAGUGGAACUCCUAGUGAUAGAGGUGGAAUUCGUAGAUAUUAGGAAGAACACCAGUGGCGAAGGCGGCUUACUGGUCCGGUACUGACGCUGAGGUGCGAAAGCGUGGGGAGCAAACAGG